AUUGAACGCUGGCGGCAGGCCUAACACAUGCAAGUCGAACGAGUGGCGGACGGGUGAGUAAUGUCUGGGAAACUGCCUGAUGGAGGGGGAUAACUACUGGAAACGGUAGCUACUACCGCAUACUAUCGGAUGUGCCCAGAUGGGAUUAGCUAGUAGGUGGGGUAAAGGCUCACCUAGGCGACGAUCACUAGCUGGUCUGAGAGGAUGAUCAGCCACACGGGAACUGAGACACGGCCCAGACUCCGACGGGAGGCAGCAGGGGGGAAUAUUGCACAAUGGGCGCAAGCCUGAUGCAGCCAUGCCGCGUGUAUGAAGAAGGCCUUCGGGUUGUAAAGUACUUUCAGCGGGGAGGCGUUACCCGCAGAAGAAGCACCGGCUAACUCCGUGCCAGCAGCCGCGGUAAUUC
rnacentral:rRNA from 1 species